rnacentral:rRNA from 1 species
GCAGCAGCCGCGGGAAUACGAAGGGUGCAAGCGUUAAUCGGAAUUACUGGGCGUAAGGGGUGCGUAGGCGGUUGUUUAAGUCUGAUGUGAAAUCCCCGAGCUUAACUUGGGAACUGCAUUUGAAGCUGGCAAGCUAGAGUCUUGUAGAGGGGGGUAGAAUUCCAGGUGUAGCGGUGAAAUGCGUAGAGAUGUGGAGGAAUACCGAUGGCGAAGGCAGCCCCCUGGGCCAAUACUGACGCUCAUGCACGAAAGCGUGGGGAGCAAACAGGAUUAGAUACCCCAGUAGUCCCUGUCUCUUAUAC